UACGUAGGGGGCUAGCGUUGUCCGGAUUUAUUGGGCGUAAAGAGCUCGUAGGCGGCUCGUUGCGUCGGCUGUGAAAACCCGCAGCUCAACUGUGGGCUUGCAGCUGAUACGGGCGGGCUGGAGUUCGGUAGGGGAGACUGGAAUUCCUGGUGUAGCGGUGAAAUGCGCAGAUAUCAGGAGGAACACCGGUGGCGAAGGCGGGUCUCUGGGCCGAUACUGACGCUGAGGAGCGAAAGCGUGGGGAGCGAACAGG
rnacentral:rRNA from 1 species